GAUGAACGCUGGCGGCGUGCUUAACACAUGCAAGUCGAACGGAACGGUCCAAUCUUGUUUGGGUCCUCGAGUGGCGAACGGGUGAGUUACCCGUGGGUGAUCUGUCCCGCACUUCGGGAUAAGCCUGGGAAACUGGGUCUCUUCCCGGCUAGGAUUGUGGUUCGGUUGCUAUUGUGGAAUGUUUUUUCGGUGUGGGAUGAGUUCGCGGCCUAUCAGCUUGUUGGAGUGGUAAUGGCUUACCAAGGCGUCGACGGGUAGCCGGCCUGAGAGUGUGUACGGCCACAUUGGGACUGGGAAACAGACCAGACUCCGACGGGAGGGAGCAGUGGGGGAGAGUACACAAGGAGCGCAGGCCUGAGGCAGCGACACCGCGGGGGGGAGGACGACCAUCGGGUUAGAGACUCCAAGCGCUAGGGACGAAGCGGUAUGUGACAGUACCUAGAGAAGAAGCACCGGCUAACUACGUG
rnacentral:rRNA from 1 species